CAGUCUGACCUGCCCCCUGACUAGUGUUAAAGGGCUGCGGUAUCUCGACCGUGCUAAGGUAGCAUAAUCAAUAGUCUUUUAAUUGAGGUCUAGUAUGAACGGUUGGACAGGAGGUAAGCUGUCUUGGGCGUGUAUUUUGAAUUUUACUUUUAAGUGAGAAGGCUUAAAUUUUGUGAGGGGACGAUAAGACCCUAUAAAGCUUUACUUGCUAACUUUAAUUUGAGAAGAUUUAAGUGGCUUUAGUCUUGAGGGUUAGCUAGUUUCGUUGGGGCGACGGGAAUAUAAGUUGUAACUGUUCUUUUUGAUAAAAUAACUAUUUUUAGAUAAUUUGAUCCUUUUUUUAGAUUAAAAGAUUAAAGUUACUUUAGGGAUAACAGCGUAAUUUUUUUUGAGAGUUCAUAUCGACAAAAAUAGUUGCGACCUCGAUGUUGAAUUAAGGUGUCGUCAAGGUGUAGCAGUUUUGACAGUAAGUCUGUUCGACUUUUAAAACCUU
rnacentral:rRNA from 1 species